rnacentral:sRNA from 1 species
CUUCGGUGACUUGUUGUGGACAGAUGUAGUGGACGUGCGCAUCUACGGCUCCCGCCGUCACGAUUAGUUUUUCCCCAGCAAUGACCUCCGUCGAGGAGCCGAUGACGAGGUUCGGGUGGACGGAAUCCAUCACAUCUGGGUUACCGGCUUUGCCGAUGCCUACGAUGAUACCGCCACUGACGCCGAUGUCUGCCUACAAAAGGCACAAAGGGCCAUGAGGCACCAGACGGAACAAACAAGAGGGGGUUUACCUUGUAUAUACCGGUCCAAUCAACAAUCACAGCGUUUGUGAUGACCAGAUCGAGAGCCUUUGCACAACUGCAAUCACAUGCUUGGCCCAUGCCAUCCCUGAU